UACAGAGGGUGCUAGCGUUGUUCGGAAUCAUUGGGCGUAAAGGGCGUGUAGGCGGUUUGUUAAGUCAUGUGUGAAAUCCCUCGGCUCAACCUGGGAACUGCAUCCAAAACUGGCGAGCUAGAGUAUGGUAGAGGGUGGUGGAAUUUCCUGUGUAGCGGUGAAAUGCGUAGAUAUAGGAAGGAACACCAGUGGCGAAGGCGACCACCUGGACUGAUACUGACACUGAGGUGCGAAAGCGUGGGGAGCAAACAGG
rnacentral:rRNA from 1 species